AGAGUUUGAUCAUGGCUCAGAAUCAACGCUGGCGGCGUGCCUAACACAUGCAAGUCGAACGCGACUUGGGCUUCGGCCUAAGUUGAGUGGCGAACGGGUGAGUAACACGUGGGUGACCUACCUUCGAGUGGGGGAUAACGUCCCGAAAGGGACGCUAAUACCGCAUAACAUCCUGCCUUUGAACAGGCGGAGAUCAAAGCCGGGGAUCGCAAGACCUGGCGCUUGAUGAGGGGCCCGCGUCCGAUUAGCUAGUUGGUGGGGUAAUGGCCCACCAAGGCUACGAUCAGUAUCCGGCCUGAGAGGGCGGACGGACACACUGGGACUGAGACACGGCCCAGACUCCUACGGGAGGCAGCAGUGGGGAAUUGUUCGCAAUGGGCGCAAGCCUGACGACGCAACGCCGCGUGGAGGAUGAAGGUCUUCGGAUUGUAAACUCCUGUUGCUCGGGACGAAAAGCUCUGACCUAACACGUCGGAGUCUGACGGUACCGAGUGAGGAAGCCCCGGCUAACUCUGUGCCAGCAGCCGCGGUAAUACAGAGGGGGCUAGCGUUGUUCGGAAUUACUGGGCGUAAAGGGCGCGUAGGCGGCCCUCUAAGUCGAACGUGAAAUCCCCGGGCUCAACCCGGGAACUGCGUCCGAUACUGGAGGGCUCGAAUCCGGGAGAGGGAUGUGGAAUUCCAGGUGUAGCGGUGAAAUGCGUAGAUAUCU
rnacentral:rRNA from 1 species